rnacentral:lncRNA from 1 species
UAUAAACUUUAAAUUCUUAGAAAUUAUAAAUCUUGAAAAUAAUAGUCCUAAAAUUUUAAAUUUUUAAAAUCUAAAUUUCCGCAUAAAGAUGAAAGUUACCAUACAUAAAUCUAUUAGCAUUUUAUAAUAUCCAGUUAGAUGUAAAAUAACAAUAAAAGAAACAUAUACAGCCAACCAAUGAUGGGAAAGAAGCAUUUCCUGAGACUAAAUUGGUUCAUGAAAUAACCUAGAUUUCUUAAAAAUACAAUAAAUGACACUAUGGUAUAUUGCAACAGAACAACUACAGAAGCAAGUUGGGAGCUCUAAAUCUAUGUAUUAAUGAUUAAUCUUUCCCACCUUGAUAUCAAUAUAACCAAAACCCAUGAUCUGUAGCCAAAAAUAUACAUGUACUCUAAACACGGAAGACCCACUAAAACUUGUUCAGAAUACAUGUAACAAGAAGUUCAAAGUAAAUUGCUUCAUAGUAUAAUAAUCCAAUAUAAUUUAACUUCUUUCCUCAAAAAAGAAAAAAAAAACAACUAUAAUUCAAGUUCAUUUUUUUCUUUCUAAAACCUGAAGUUCAGAUUUGUAAUGUCAUAAAACAUGGAUAAAGUAUUUGGUGAUCUAGCCAAAGAACUAUUCUUGAUCAUUGUUUUUACCAUCAACAAAUGUUGCACACAGUCACAAGUAUGCAUGCAGAGAAGGAAUUGAACAAUUGAAAAAACAAAAGAAAGAGAAGACAAGAAAAUAAAAUUAACAGUAUAGGCGCAGAUACCAUGGCUGGAUGAAUCUAAUCUCCAUGCCAUUCAUCUUUGAUCUCAGGUACAAAACAGAUAGCCUACCUUCCAACAUGUUUAAGAAACCCAAAUCAAUGACAACUAAGAAACAAAGUUUGUUUACCAUUAUUUCUAUAAGAUUUAUUUAAUCUUUAACCCUUAUCAGGUGAUGUAAAAAUCCCAAGAAUCUAAUUUUCCACAGGCAUCAUUAGUACCAACAAAUAUCCAACUAGAUCUAUAAAACUGUACCAAAAACCAUUUGAUGGAAUUAGCCAUGGAUUUGAGUCGCAAACCAUUAGAUCAAUCAAAGAAUUUCAAUCUCCAAAACUGCACCAAAAACACUUGCUCUCGGUCUAAAAAUUUUUAUGUCUCUCCCACUCAAAAACACGUUAAAAAUAGAGAAAACAGAGAACAGGUCCCUAUAAUUUCGAUACACAAUGUCCAAUUACCCUAUUCUCAAUAAAGAUGACUAUAUAUUUUUGAACUGUUUGGAAAAUGGAAAAACUAUAAAAUUAGAAGAAGAAGAAGAAGAAGAACUUAAGAAGAAGAAGAAUCAAAACCAGGAUUCAGAAGAAGAACAAGAAGAAUUUAAUAAGAAGAAUCAAAGAAGAAUUUAAGAAAGAAAAAGAAGAAGAAGAAAAGUCAGAAACCAGAAGAAGAAUUAAGAAGAAGGAGAAAUCUAAACUCUAAGUUACCGUUUUGAGAUAUUAACGCUGGGGUCGGCUUUUAUAGAUAUUUUAAAUUCUAAGUUACCGUUGAGAUCUUCAAAUACUAUAGAAUAAUUGCAAUUUGCUCCUUAAUAUUUGCUAUAUUACACUAGCUAAGC